AACACCGUAGCUCAAUGGAAGAGCGCAGGGCCUCCACCCUGAGAUGCCCGUUCAAUUCGGGUCGGUGUUA
rnacentral:tRNA from 1 species